rnacentral:misc_RNA from 1 species
AAGUCGUAACAAGGUUUCCGUAGGUGAACCUGCGGAAGGAUCAUUACUGAGUUAGGGUCUUCCAGGCCCGACCUCCAACCCUUUGUUUAUUCUACCAUGUUGCUUUGGCGGGCCCGCCCGCUUGGGGCCGCCGGGGGCUUAAUCGCCCCUGGCCCGUGCCUGUCGGUAGCCUUAUUAAAUUCUUAAUAAAUGUGUCGUCUGAGUAUAAAUACAAAUCGUUAAAAACUUUCAACAACGGAUCUCUUGGUUCUG